UACGAAGGGGCUAGCGUUGUUCGGAAUUACUGGGCGUAAAGCGAGUGUAGGUGGUUGUCCAAGUUGGAUGUGAAAGCCUUGAGCUCAACUCAAGAAAUGCAUUCAGGACUGGGCGGCUAGAGGACCGGAGAGGAUAGUGGAAUUCCCAGUGUAGUGGUGAAAUACGUAGAGAUUGGGAAGAACACCAGUGGCGAAGGCGGCUAUCUGGACGGUUUCUGACACUAAGACUCGAAAGCGUGGGGAGCAAACAGG
rnacentral:rRNA from 1 species